rnacentral:rRNA from 1 species
UACGGAGGGUGCAAGCGUUAUCCGGAUUCACUGGGUUUAAAGGGUGCGUAGGUGGGUCUGUAAGUCAGUGGUGAAAAUCUUCGAGCUUAACUCGGAAACUGCCAUUGAUACUAUAGAUCUUGAAUUUUCUGGAGGUAAGCGGAAUAUGUCAUGUAGCGGUGAAAUGCUUAGAUAUGACAUAGAACACCAAUUGCGAAGGCAGCUUACUACGGGAACAUUGACACUGAGGCACGAAAGCGUGGGGAUCAAACAGG